rnacentral:rRNA from 1 species
UAUCCCCCUGUGUCGCCUUGUUCCUACGACUAGCAGAGCACUCCUACGGGAGGCAGCAGGUGGGAAUAGUUGCACAAUGGGCGCAAGCCUGAUGCAGCCAUGCCGCGUGUAUGAAGAAGGCCUUCGGGUUGUAAAGUUACUUUCAGCAGUGAGGAAGGUGGGUAUGUUAAUAGCAUUAUCUAUUUGACGUUAGCUGCAGAAGAAGCACCGGCUAACUCCGUGCCAGCAGCCGCGGUAAUACGGAGGGUGCGAGCGUUAAUCGGAAUUACGUGGGACGUAAAGCGCAUGCAGGUGGUUUAGUUAAGUCAGAUGUAGAAACGGCCCGGGGCUACCUAACCGUACGGUAAUUGCUAUUUAGAAACGUGGACAAACUAGAGUACUGUAGAGGGGGUAGAAUUUCAGGUGUAGCGGUGAAAUGCGUAGAGAUCUGAAGGAAUACCGGUGGCGAAGGCGGCCCCCUGGACAGAUACUGACACUCAGAUGCGAAAGCGUGGGGAGCAAACAGGAUUAGAUACCCUGGUAG